GAUGAAGAACGCAGCGAAAUGCGAUACGUAAUGUGAAUUGCAAAUUCAGUGAAUCAUCGAGUCUUUGAACGCACAUUGCGCCCCCUGGUAUUCCGGGGGGCAUGCCUGUCCGAGCGUCAUUGCUGCCCUCAAGCACGGCUUGUGUGUUGGGCCCCGUCCUCCGAUCCCGGGGGACGGGCCCGAAAGGCAGCGGCGGCACCGCGUCCGGUCCUCGAGCGUAUGGGGCUUUGUCACCCGCUCUGUAGGCCCGGCCGGCGCUUGCCGAUCAACCCAAACUUUUAUCCAGGUUGACCUCGGAUCAGGUAGGGAUACCCGCUGAACUUAAGCAUAUCAAUAAGCGGAGGA
rnacentral:misc_RNA from 1 species